CCUACGGGAGGCAGCAGUGAGGAAUAUUGGUCAAUGGGCGAGAGCCUGAACCAGCCAAGUCGCGUGAGGGAGUACUGCCCUAUGGGUUGUAAACCUCUUUUGUCGGGGAGCAAAAGCCGGACGUGUCCGGCUGUGAGAGUACCCGAAGACAAAGCAUCGGCUAACUCCGUGCCAGCAGCCGCGGUAAUACGGAGGAUGCGAGCGUUAUCCGGAUUUAUUGGGUUUAACGGGUGCGCAGGCGGAUUUUUAAGUCAGCGGUAAAAUCGUGGGGCUCAACCCCAUCCAGCCGUUGAAACUGGGGAUCUAGAGUGUGCGAGAGGUAUGCGGAAUGCGUGGUGUAGCGGUGAAAUGCAUAGAUAUCACGCAGAACCACGAUUGCGAAGGCAGCAUACCGGUGCACAACUGACGCUCAGGCACGAAAGCGUGGGUAUCGAACAGGAUUAGAUACCCUAGUAGUC
rnacentral:rRNA from 1 species